AAAAUUUUAGUUUAAUUAAAAUAAUAAAUUUACAAUUUAGUGAUUGUUUACUCAAAAUUUUA
rnacentral:tRNA from 1 species